CCUUUGACGUUAGCGGCGGACGGGUGAGUAACACGUGGGUAACCUACCUAUAAGACUGGGAUAACUUCGGGAAACCGGAGCUAAUACCGGAUAAUAUUUCGAACCGCAUGGUUCGAUAGUGAAAGGUGGUUUUGCUAUCACUUAUAGAUGGACCUGCGCCGUAUUAGCUAGUUGGUAAGGUAACGGCUUACCAAGGCGACGAUACGUAGCCGACCUGAGAGGGUGAUCGGCCACACUGAAACUGAGACACGGUCCAGACUCCUACGGGAGGCAGCAGCU
rnacentral:rRNA from 1 species